rnacentral:rRNA from 1 species
UUUUUAUAUAAAAGUUAUUUUAUAAUUGUUAUAAUUAUAUAAGAAAUUAUAUGUGUUUGUAUAGUAAUUUUUUUAUUUUAUUUUGAGGAAAUUAGAGUGUUUUAAGCAUGAUUUUUCAAUGGAAUAAUGGAGUAUGGAUUAUUAAAAAUGUAAUGAAAUUGAUUUAUAUGUUGGUUUUAAAGUGUUAAUUAAUAAUUUCUAAGAAUAGUUGGGGGUAUUUGUAUUUAACAGCAAGAGGUGAAAUUCUUAGAUUUGUUGAAGAUAAAUUAUUGUGAAAGCAUUUAUUAAAAAUAUUUUUUUUAAUUAAGAACAAAAGUUAGGGGAUCGAAGACGAUCAGAUACCGUCGUAGUCUUAAUUAUAAACUAUGCUGAUUAGAGAUUAGAUGUUUUUAAAUAAAUGAUUUGUUUAGUAUUUUUAGAGAAAUCGAAGUUUUUAAGUUUUGGGGGGAGUAUAGUUGCAAGAUUGAAACUUAAAGGAAUUGACGGAAAGGCACCACCAGAAGUGGAGUUUGCGGUUUAAUUUGACUCAACACAAGAAAUUUUAUUAGGUCUAGACAUAUGAAGGAUUGACAGAUUAAUAGUUUUUUUUUGAUUUUAUGGGUGGUA